UACGAAGGGUGCAAGCGUUACUCGGAAUUACUGGGCGUAAAGCGUGCGUAGGCGGUUUGUUAAGUCCGUUGUGAAAGCCCUGGGCUCAACCUGGGAAUUGCAGUGGAUACUGGCAAGCUAGAGUACGGUAGAGGAUGGUGGAAUUCCCGGUGUAGCGGUGAAAUGCGUAGAUAUCGGAAGGAACAUCAGUGGCGAAAGCGGCUUCCUGGACCAGUACCGACGUCAGGCACGAAAGCGUGGGGAGCAAACAGG
rnacentral:rRNA from 1 species